rnacentral:rRNA from 1 species
UACGUAGGGGCCGAGCGUUGUCCGGAGUUACUGGGCGUAAAGCGCGCGCAGGCGGCGCAUCGCGCCCGGCGUGAAAGCCCCCGGCUCAACCGGGGAGGGUCGUCGGGGACGGGUGCGCUUGAGGACGGCAGGGGCAGGUGGAAUUCCCGGUGUAGUGGUGAAAUGCGUAGAGAUCAUGAGGAAGACCAGUGGCGAAGGCGGGUCUCUGGACAGUUCCUGACACUGAGACACGAAGGCCAGGGGAGCAAACGGG